UACGUAGGGUCCGAGCGUUGUCCGGAAUUAUUGGGCGUAAAGGGCUCGUAGGCGGUCCGUCACGUCGGGAGUGAAAACUCAGGGCUCAACCCUGAGCGUGCUUCCGAUACGGGCGGACUAGAGGUAUGCAGGGGAGAACGGAAUUCCUGGUGUAGCAGUGAAAUGCGUAGAUAUCAGGAGGAAUACCGAUGGCGAAGGCAGGUCUCUGGGCUGACACUGACGCUCAUGCACGAAAGCGUGGGGAGCAAACAGG
rnacentral:rRNA from 1 species